rnacentral:rRNA from 1 species
GACGAACGCUGGCGGCGUGCUUAACACAUGCAAGUCGAACGGAAAGGCCCUGCGUUUGUGGGGUGCUCGAGUGGCGAACGGGUGAGUAACACGUGAGUAACCUGCCCUUGACUUUGGGAUAACUUCAGGAAACUGGGGCUAAUACCGGAUAGGAGCUCCUGCUGCAUGGUGGGGGUUGGAAAGUUUCGGCGGUUGGGGAUGGACUCGCGGCUUAUCAGCUUGUUGGUGGGGUAGUGGCUUACCAAGGCUGUGACGGGUAGCCGGCCUGAGAGGGUGACCGGCCACAUUGGGACUGCGAGACGGCCCAGACUGCUACGGGAGGCAGCAGUGGGGAAUAUUGCACAAUGGGCGGAAGCCUGAUGCAGCAACGCCGCGUGCGGGAUGACGGCCUUCGGGUUGUAAACCGCUUUCGCCUGUGACGAAGCGUGAGUGACGGUAAUGGGUAAAGAAGCACCGGCUAACUACGUG